rnacentral:rRNA from 1 species
GACGAACCGUGCGAACGUUAUUCGGAAUCACUGGGCUUAAAGGGCGCGUAGGCGGGCCGAAAAGUCAGGGGUGAAAUCCUCCAGCCCAACCGGAGAAGCGCCUUUGGUACUGUCGGCCUCGAGGGGUGCAGGGGCAUGCGGAACUCAGGGUGGAGCGGUGAAAUGCGUAGAUAUCCUGAGGAACACCGGUGGCGAAAGCGGCGUGCUGGACACCUUCUGACGCUGAGGCGCGAAAGCCAGGGGAGCGAACGGG